rnacentral:lncRNA from 1 species
GUGAACCUCUGUAAAAGCUUAGAGCAGUUUAGCGUCUUUGCCUUUUGCCUGGAGGUGCCCGUGAUACUUGCCCUUGUGCAGGAGGAGAGCUCUGCUGCUGAUUCCGGGUGCCUGUCCUCCAUGACCAUCUCCUCACCGCUGUGGAUGGAUCCACUCUUUCCCUGAUUCUGGGUGCCUGUCCUCCAUGAGCAUCUCCUCACCGCUGUGGAUGGAUCCACUCUUUCCCUGAUUCUGGGUGCCUGUCCUCCAUGUCCUCCAUGACCAUCUCCUCACCGCUGUGGAUGGAUCCACUCUUUCCCUGAUUCUGGGUGCCUGUCCUCCAUGACCUCCAUGACCAUCUCCUCACCGCUGUGGAUGGAUCCGCUCUUUCCCUGAUUCUGGGUGCCUGUCCUCCAUGUCCUCCAUGACCAUCUCCUCACCGCUGUGGAUGGAUACACUCUUUCCCUGAUUCUGGGUGCCUGUCCUCCAUGUCCUCCAUGAGCAUCUCCUCACCGCUGUGGAUGGAUCCGCUGUUUCCCUGAUUCUGGGUGCCUGUCCUCCAUGUCCUCCAUGACCAUCUCCUCACCGCUGUGGAUGGAUCCGCUCUUUCCCUGAUUCUGGGUGCCUGUCCUCCAUGAGCAUCUUCUCACCGCUGUGGAUGGAUCCGCUCUUUCCCUGAUUCUGGGUGCCUGUCCUCCAUGACCAUCUCCUCACCGCUGUGGAUGGAUCCGCUCUUUCCCUGAUUCCGGGUGCCUGUCCUCCAUGACCUCCAUGACCAUCUCCUCACCGCUGUGGAUGGAUCUGCUGUUUCCCUGAUUCCGGGUGCUUGUCCUCCAUGACCAUCUCCUCACCGCUGUGGAUGGAUCCGCUCUUUCCCUGAUUCCGGGUGCUUGUCCUCCAUGACCAUCUCCUCACCGCUGUGGAUGGAUCCGCUGUUUCCCUGAUUCUGGGUGCCUGUCCUCCAUGUCCUCCAUGACCAUCUCCUCACCGCUGUGGAUGGAUCCGCUCUUUCCCUGAUUCCGGGUGCCUGUCCUCCAUGACCAUCUCCUCACCGCUGUGGAUGGAUCCGCUGUUUCCCUGAUUCCGGGUGCCUGUCCUCCAUGACCUCCAUGACCAUCUCCUCACCGCUGUGGAUGGAUCUGCUGUUUCCCUGAUUCCGGGUGCUUGUCCUCCAUGACCAUCUCCUCACCGCUGUGGAUGGAUCCGCUGUUUCCCUGAUUCUGGGUGCCUGUCCUCCAUGACCUCCAUGACCAUCUCCUCACCGCUGUGGAUGGAUCUGCUGUUUCCGUGAUUCCGGGUGCCUGUCCUCCAUGACCAUCUCCUCACCGCUGUGGAUGGAUCCGCUCUUUCCCUGAUUCCGGGUGCCUGUCCUCCAUGACCAUCUCCUCACCGCUGUGGAGGGAUCUGCUCUUUCCCACUGGCCUGUGCUGGCUCCGGCUCCCUGGGCAUCACGUACGUGAGGUCUCCUCCUGGGGACACAGCUAUUCUCUUUCACAGUUUAUUUCUUCAUCCUCCAGUGACAAAUAAGUCAACUCUGCAGCUUUUGAAUAAGGCUUCAUAACGACUCUCAGCCAAAUAUCGCAGCUUUUCUUCUUCCAUGCUGUCUUGGCCAUUUGGGUUCUUUAUACCUGUGUGAAUCACAGGAUCAUCUUGUCAAGUGAAAAGCCUCUGUUGGGUUUCAAUGGAAUUGCAUUUAUAUUUAUAGGCUGACUUGGGGGAUUAUGACGAUCUUCAUAACAAGUUUUCAUGUCAGUUAACCUAGUUCUAUUCUAUGCACCUCAGUAAAUUUUUAAAUUUUUUUCUUAAAAUUAUGCCCAUAUUUUC